GAAGCAACGCGCAGAACCUUACCAACCCUUGACAUCCCGGGACCGGUCCAGAGAUGGAUCUUUCACUUCGGUGACUCGGUGACAGGUGCUGCAUGGCUGUCGUCAGCUCGUGUCGUGAGAUGUUCGGUUAAGUCCGGCAACGAGCGCAACCCACAUCCUUAGUUGCCAGCAGUUCGGCUGGGCACUCUAGGGAAACUGCCCGUGAUAAGCGGGAGGAAGGUGUGGAUGACGUCAAGUCCUCAUGGCCCUUACGGGUUGGGCUACACACGUGCUACAAUGGCAGUGACAAUGGGUUAAUCCCAAAAAACUGUCUCAGUUCGGAUUGGGGUCUGCAACUCGACCCCAUGAAGUCGGAAUCGCUAGUAAUCGCGUAACAGGCA
rnacentral:rRNA from 1 species